GGACGACAUACUAAACUAUGACGUUUUUGUGACAUUUUGGACGACAUAAACUAUGAGGUUUUAGGGACAUUUUGGACGACAUACUAAACUAUGACGUUUUAGGGACAUUUUGGACGACAUACUAAACUAUGACGUUUUUGUGACAUUUUGGACGACAUACUAAACUAUGACGUUGUCAUUUUUUGGACGACAUACUAAACUAUGACGUUUUUGUGAUAUUUUGGACGACAUACUAAACUAUGACGUUGUCAUUUUUUGGACGACAUACUAAACUAUGACGUUUUUGUGAUAUUUUGGACAACAUACUAAACUAUGACGUUUUUGUCGUUUUUUGGACGACAUACUAAACUAUGACGUUGUUGUCAUAUUUUGGACGACAUACUAAAGUAUGACGUUUUUGUGAUAUUUUGGACGACAUACUAAACUAUGACGUUUUUGUGAUAUUUUGGACGACAUACUAAACUAUGACGUCGUUUUUUGGACGACAUACUAAACUAUGACGAUUUAGUCAUAUUUUGGACAACAUACUAAACUUUGACGUUUUUGUGAUAUUUUGGACGACAUACUAAACUAUGACGUUUUUGUCGUUUUUUGGACGACACUAAAUUAUGACGUUUUUGUGAUAUUUUGGACGACAUACUAAACUAUGACGUUUUUGUGACAUUUUGGACGACAUACUAAACUAUGACGUUUUUGUGACAUUUUGGACGACAUAAACUAUGAGGUUUUAGGGACAUUUUGGACGACAUACUAAAC